GAAGUGGUCCGGAUGAGCGCGCUGGUUUCGACCGGUGAGGAAAGUCCGAGCUCCACAGGGCAGGGUGCUGGGUAACGCCCAGGGGGGGUAACCCCACAGACAGUGCAACAGAAAACAAACCGCCCGUCAUGAGGGGUCAAACCCGGUGGCGGGUAAGGGUGAAAUGGUGAGGUAAGAGCUCACCGCGUCUUCCGGUGACGGAGGCGGCAUGGUAAACCUCACCCGGAGCAAGGCCAAAUAGGGGAGAAGAGGUGGCCCGCCUCGUCUGACUCCCGGGUAGGCUGCAUGAGGCGGCAGGUAACUGUCGUCCCAGAUGAAUGCUCAUUGGGUACACGCCGUCGGCCUGGCCGUUGACGUGUGCUGACAGAACUCGGCUUACAGGACCACUUCAGAC
rnacentral:RNase_P_RNA from 1 species